CAAAUUUGAACUUGUUAAAAAGUAUUUCAUUUACAUUGAAAUUUUAAAAGUGUAAAUCUUUUAUAUUUGA
rnacentral:tRNA from 1 species